AAAAGAUUAGAAGAUUAAGUCUGGUCCAAUAUAUUAACAUAGAGAAAUAAUGAGCUUGUAUACGAAAAUUAUGACGAAGUGAAUAUAAAUAAUCGUCCUUAGUUACAAAUUAGCUUAAAAGAAAUUUCCAAAAGCAAACGGAGUCUAUGUGUAAACAUGGUAGGUACAUUGUAAUAAUUUGCAAAUAACUGGUUCUCUACUUGGUUGUUUUAAAAUCAUGGGUGAUUUAGUA